UACGGAGGAUGCAAGCGUUGUCCGGAAUGAUUGGGUUUAAAGGGUGCGUAGGCGGUCUAUUAAGUCAGUGUUUAAAUUUUGCAGCUCAACUGUAGGUAUGGCAUUGAUACUGAUGGACUUGAAUAUUAAGGAGGUAGCUGGAAUUUAUGGUGUAGCGGUGAAAUGCUUAGAUACCAUAAGGAACACCGAUAGCGAAGGCAGGUUACCACUUGAUUAUUGACGCUGAGGCACGAAAGUGUGGGGAUCAAACAGG
rnacentral:rRNA from 1 species